GGCAGCUGAACGCUUACAACUGCUCCAUCAGCACAGACCAGCGAUGGCCUUCACUGCACUCUUCCUGUGGUCUCUCGUCGUCUGCAUUCAAGAUUCCAUGGGACAGGUCACUCUUACGCAACCUCCAGCAGUGACCAGCAGUCCAGGAGGCACAGUUAGAAUCAGCUGUAAACGCAGUGGAAGCAUUUAUAAGGACUACUGUUCUCCAAAAUGCAUCUCCUGGUAUCUGCAGAAGUCUGGAGAGAAUCCCAAACCUCUCAUCUACUCUGUGAGCAGCCUCCAGUCUGGUAUUCCAUCUCGGUUUAGUGGCAGUGGAUCUGGGAAUGACUUCAGUCUGACCAUCAGUGGAGUCCAGAGUGAAGAUGCAGGAGAUUAUUACUGCAUGAGUCGCCAUGAUCCUAGAAGUGGUGUUGCUGAGUGGACUUGUGACUCCUGGAUUAACAGUGUUUCAGUGCAAGAGAUCACACACAAAUUGCUUGGGAUUACAAAUAUAUUGCUUCCUCUCACAAAUACUGCUUGGGAUAUUGGGAUAUUCUGCUUAUAUGAUCUGAGGAUGACAAGCAUUAAUCAAGUCUAAUAAUUGAAAUACAUUACCCU